UUUUUUCUUCUUCUUCUCCUCCUCCUCCUUCUUCUUCGUCUUCUUCAUCCUUCUAGAAAGAGAGACCGACGGCUUCCCCCUUCCUUUUUGAAAUCUCUUCCGCUGCCCCAUCCUUCAUUUGCUUCUCCACGCCGACACAACGCCACUAUCAUUGCGCCGCUCUAACCGCCGGAAGACGACCACCCACGUCGCGCGCCUUGAACCACGGCGUUUUGAAGUGGUUAGUUCGAAUCAACACAAUCUAUUCGAGUGUCCUUGUUGUGUUUCUUUGUAGCUGAGCUGUGCAGUACCUAUCCAUCGUUCGUUGUCAUUCGGCAAGUUGAAUCAUUGUUACCCAUUAAGUUUCGACUUGGUUUUCACGAUACCCAUUACAUUUUAAUGCUAAAUUUGGAUUUUAAAGGAGUUCAAACCACUGUCCAGCAGUUCGUAAGCUCAAAUUUGGGUGUUCUAGUACAACUUGGGUAAGAUUCUAUACUUUAUAGAGCGGGUCUUGAGUACCCAUCAAAUUUUAGUAACGAUAUUGAUUAAACCAUGAUGUCGGAUACUUGAUUUUGAGCUUAGUAGGUGGUUAGGAUGUUUCCCAUGAAAGUUAAGAGUAUUUUAAUUGGUUCUUGACAAGUUUUGGAGUAAUUUAAGUGAGUUUUCUUUGAGUUCUUGCAUACCCAUUGAAUCUAAGCAUUUAUAUUAGAUUACUUAUAAGACUCGAGUCCCAAAGUUAAACAUUUGAGGUCAAGAAUGAACAUUCUUCUAACUUUAGAGAUUUGUUUGGGUGUUGCGUAUAUGAACACACAAUAGUUUUAGAUCCUAGAUUCGAAUUUAGAAAGGUGUUAACAUGUUAUCAAGGCGAUUUUGACAAGUAUUUGAUAAGGUUGUAGAUAAAUUAGCAUGUUCUCUCAUAGUUCUUAAAUACCACUUCGUAUUAGUGCGGACUUGAUUUUACCCAUAAUUUUUGAAUGGAAAAGUGGGGACUUUAGAGAACUAUGAAGCAUUGUUCACCGCACUUAAGAUUGUUUAGGACAAGUGUGGGAAAUUUCUUAAGAUAUUGACUUGCUACUUUGACGUUGAGUUUGUUAUUAAAUGAUCUAAAUCCCUCACAUUAUUGAUAUUGCAACUAAGAGCAAGUUAAUAUACAAGACCCAUUAAGUAUACACUAAGUUUGGAUCCUUAUCUUAUUAAGAGUCCAAUGUGAAGUUUAAGGUUCAAGAGUGGAAUGUUUAGCCUAGACUAAAGCAUUUAGGGAAAAGUUAAAUUUAGAACUUGGAAGCCUUGGUCACGGUUGAGAUUAUUUUAGGUGAGUGGGGUAGGUUUCUAAGUUAUUGACCCAUUAGAUUUUUGUUGAGAUUGUUAAUGGAUUUAAACCUCUAAGGUAUGAUUAUUGGAAAUAAGAGUGUAUGGAAUAAUUUCAUUGGAUUUUUCCUAGAGUUGAAGGUUAAAGGUCGAAAAUCGAAAGAGAAGGCAGAUUUCAGGUUUCGUGCAUGAAUCUACGAAGAUGCUGUUGUGUUGAGUAGUUAGAAGUGUAGAAAUGGAUUUAAGAUCUCUAUUUGGUAUGGUUGGAAAGCUUAUUCAAUUGACUACAACUUUUAUGAAGGAAUUGUGAGCUAAAUAUGUUUUGAAGUAAGCCUAAUUUCAUAAACAAGUUAGGGGAUCGCAGAAGACUCCAUUUUUGAACACUCUCUGUUUUGGGUCAAUUAUGUAGCAAUCCAUUGAGAAUCGUAUUUUUCUUCCUUCUUGUAAAUUAUAGAGGACAUUAAAAUGAAGAUUUUAACAUAAAGAACACUCAUUUUGGUUAAGUAUUGAAAGAGUUAUGAUCAUUUGAAUAUUAUGUUACGAAUUUGGAAAAUUUUUAGAAAUGUGUUGUCGAGGUGAUUUUGAUAUGGUUUUAGAUAAAUUUUAGUGGGUUCUCUCAUGUUUGGGUGCUUGUGUCGUUAAGAGAUUAAUGUGAUGCUAAGAGUCCAAAGUUGGAAUAUUUAGAAUAUAUUAAAGCAUGAAGGGAUAAUUCGAUUUAAGUCUUGGAAGAGAGAAAUUGGAGUCUUUGGAAUAUAAAAUAGUUUGAGUUGGCUUUAUGAAGUACAUUGAAGAUUGUUGUGUCGUUUUGCUUUGUGAAGUUAAUUGAUAAACCUUAAUCCUUGUUUCCGGCUAAAUUGAAGUGGGGAAAGUAUAAAAUUCCGGGGGAUCGAGUAAUUGAUAGUGAGUGGCUUAUUUUCAAGUAUUUCCUUAUAAAUCUAUAUAUGUUCUAUAAUAUGACCCGAUGGUGAGAACUUCGAAUAUAAUUACUUUAUGAACCAUGUGUUAGAAAUUUUUUCAAAUACGUCUUUCUAUUUUCUAUGAACUCUUAUAUUCAGAAAGCAUGUUUGAACUCGAACCUAUUAAUUAUAAUUUAUACGACAACUGAUUUAAGAAUACUUGUUCUGUUAUUAACAUGGAUAUUUUGAAUGAAAGGUUAUUCUAAAACAUGUUUUAGUCGCUAAGGAUUUAAAAUGGCUUUAUGAAAUGUGUUCUUGACCAUGUUUGGUUAUUAAACAUGUAAUAUGUGAUAUUAUAAAUGUUGGUGAUUACCCUAAAGGCUACGUGAAUGUGUUUCCGUAGCGCCACCCACAGUUGUCAGGGGAUUCUGGGGCUGAAAGAGGCCGUGACCGGAGAUCUGAGAACCUGAGUCUAGGUGAGGACAUGGAUGGAGGAUUGUGAUAUGGCUUCGGGCCUAGCUUAAUCCAUGGUGGGUGGCUCUAUGUGCACAUAGGAGCGGUAUGUUGUUACCGUGGUAGGUGCUAAGUAUGUGUGAGCUUCGUUUGGCUGCGUGUUUCUUUGUGGAUAUGGAGCACGUGUGAGCUAUCCUUAGGCCGUAUGCUUAGUAUACUAUCAUGGUUGGGUUGGAUUGGUUGGAUCGGAUUGGAUGGAGGUUGUUAUCGUGGCGGAUACUAAAUAUGCGUGAGCUAGUUUUGGCCGCAUGAUUUUUUAGUCAUGUGCGAGCUAUCUUUGGCUGUAUAUUUAGAUGCCUUGCCAUGGUUGGUUUGGAUACAAGUUGGUUGGCGUUACUUAUGGUUUAUGGUAACGAUCAAGGACCAAGCAUUAGUUGUGCUUUUCUAUCAUUGAUUGUAGUUUCUCAUUCUUGUUGUAUGUAUAUAUUUAUGUGUAGUAUUGUAUUAUUGGGUGAUUAGAAGAAGCGAGAGUCACGAUGAGAAUUUGAGUUUGAGAGGUCUUUUAUUAGAUUGUAAUUCUUCUGUAACUAGUUCGUAGUUGAAUAUAAAUUCUGAACGAGAUUCUGGAAUUGUCUGGAUGAGUGUGUGGUGAGACACACUCGAUGAU